rnacentral:rRNA from 1 species
AGUGAACGCUGGCGGCAGGCCUAAUACAUGCAAGUCGAAUGGCAGCACAGCAGAGCUUGCUCUGUGGGUGGCGAGUGGCGGACGGGUGAGGAAUACGUGGGAAUCUGCCCAGUCGUGGGGGAUAAUGUAGGGAAACUUACGCUAAUACCGCAUGCGCCCUUCGGGGGAAAGCCGGGGACCUUCGGGCCUGGCACGAUUGGAUGAGCCCACGUCGGAUUAGCUAGUUGGCGGGUAAAGGCCCACCAAGGCGACGAUCCGUAGCUGGUCUGAGAGGAUGAUCAGCCACACUGGAACUGAGACACGGUCCAGACUCCUACGGGAGGCAGCAGUAGGGAAUAUUGGACAAUGGGCGCAAGCCUGAUCCAGCCAUGCCGCGUGAGUGAAGAAGGCCCUCGGGUUGUAAAGCUCUUUUGCCGGAAAGAAAGCGCCGGGUUAAUACCCUGGUGUCCUGACGGUACCGGAAGAAUAAGC